GCUCAGGAUGAACGCUAGCUACAGGCUUAACACAUGCAAGUCGAGGGGUAGCAGGGUAGCAAUACCGCUGACGACCGGCGCACGGGUGAGUAACACGUAUCCAACCUUCCCAUAACUCGGGGAUAGCCUUUCGAAAGAAAGAUUAAUACCCGAUAGUACUUAUAUAAGGCAUCUUAAAUAAGUUAAAGAUUUAUUGGUUAUGGAUGGGGAUGCGUUCCAUUAGAUAGUUGGUGAGGUAACGGCUCACCAAGUCUUCGAUGGAUAGGGGUUCUGAGAGGAAGGUCCCCCACAUUGGUACUGAGACACGGACCAAACUCCUACGGGAGGCAGCAGUGAGGAAUAUUGGUCAAUGGGCGAGAGCCUGAAC
rnacentral:rRNA from 1 species